ACACGUGAGCAACGUGCCCAUAACUCUGGGAUAACCUCCGGAAACGGUGGCUAAUACUGGAUAUCUAACACGAUCGCAUGGUCUGUGUUUGGAAAGAUUUUUUGGUUAUGGAUCGGCUCACGGCCUAUCAGCUUGUUGGUGAGGUAAUGGCUCACCAAGGCGACGACGGGUAGCCGGCCUGAGAGGGUGACCGGCCACACUGGGACUGAGACACGGCCCAGACUCCUACGGGAGGCAGCAGUGGGGAAUAUUGCACAAUGGGCGAAAGCCUGAUGCAGCAACGCCGCGUGAGGGAUGACGGCCUUCGGGUUGUAAACCUCUUUUAGUAGGGAAGAAGCGAAAGUGACGGUACCUGCAGAAAAAGCACCGGCUAACUACGUGCCAGCCGCCG
rnacentral:rRNA from 1 species